GGCGGCAGGCCUAACACAUGCAAGUCGAGCGGAAACGAGUUAUCUGAACCUUCGGGGAACGAUAACGGCGUCGAGCGGCGGACGGGUGAGUAAUGCCUAGGAAAUUGCCCUGAUGUGGGGGAUAACCAUUGGAAACGAUGGCUAAUACCGCAUGAUGCCUACGGGCCAAAGAGGGGGACCUUCGGGCCUCUCGCGUCAGGAUAUGCCUAGGUGGGAUUAGCUAGUUGGUGAGGUAAGGGCUCACCAAGGCGACGAUCCCUAGCUGGUCUGAGAGGAUGAUCAGCCACACUGGAACUGAGACACGGUCCAGACUCCUACGGGAGGCAGCAGUGGGGAAUAUUGCACAAUGGGCGCAAGCCUGAUGCAGCCAUGCCGCGUGUGUGAAGAAGGCCUUCGGGUUGUAAAGCACUUUCAGUCGUGAGGAAGG
rnacentral:rRNA from 1 species